UACGUAGGGUCCGAGCGUUGUCCGGAAUUAUUGGGCGUAAAGGGCUCGUAGGCGGUCUGUCGCGUCGGGAGUGAAAACCAGGUGCUUAACACCUGGCCUGCUUUCGAUACGGGCAGACUAGAGGUACUCAGGGGAGAAUGGAAUUCCUGGUGUAGCGGUGAAAUGCGCAGAUAUCAGGAGGAACACCGGUGGCGAAGGCGGUUCUCUGGGAGUAUCCUGACGCUGAGGAGCGAAAGUGUGGGGAGCGAACAGG
rnacentral:rRNA from 2 species